GGGCGUAAAGAGCUCGUAGGUGGUUUGUCGCGUUGUUCGUGAAAUCUCACGGCUUAACUGUGAGCGUGCGGGCGAUACGGGCAGACUAGAGUACUGCAGGGGAGACUGGAAUUCCUGGUGUAGCGGUGGAAUGCGCAGAUAUCAGGAGGAACACCGGUGGCGAAGGCGGGUCUCUGGGCAGUAACUGACGCUGAGGAGCGAAAGCGUGGGGAGCGAACAGGAUUAGAUACCCUGGUAGUCCACGCCGUAAACGGUGGGUACUAGGUGUGGGUUUCCUUCCUUGGGAUCCGUGCCGUAGCUAACGCAUUAAGUACCCCGCCUGGGGAGUACGGCCGCAAGGCUGAAACUCAAAGGAAUUGACGGGGGCCCGCACAAGCGGCGGAGCAUGUGGAUUAAUUCGAUGCAACGCGAAGAACCUUACCUGGGUUUGACAUGCACAGGACGCGUCUAGAGAUAGGCGUUCCCUUGUGGCCUGUGUGCAGGUGGUGCAUGGCUGUCGUCAGCUCGUGUCGUGAGAUGUUGGGUUAAGUCCCGCAACGAGCGCAACCCUUGUCUCAUGUUGCCAGCGGGUAAUGCCGGGGACUCGUGAGAGACUGCCGGGGUCAACUCGGAGGAAGGUGGGGAUGACGUCAAGUCAUCAUGCCCCUUAUGUCCAGGGCUUCACACAUGCUACAAUGGCCGGUACAAAGGGCUGCGAUGCCGUAAGGUUAAGCGAAUCCUUUUAAAGCCGGUCUCAGUUCGGAUUGGGGUCUGCAACUCGACCCCAUGAAGUCGGAGUCGCUAGUAAUCGCAGAUCAGCAACGCU
rnacentral:rRNA from 1 species